AUUGAACGCUAGCGGGAUGCUCUACACAUGCAAGUCGAACGGCAGCGCGGACUUCGGUCUGGCGGCGAGUGGCGAACGGGUGAGUAAUGUAUCGGAACGUGCCCAGUAUCGGGGGAUAACUACGCGAAAGCGUAGCUAAUACCGCAUACGCCCUACGGGGGAAAGCAGGGGAUCGUAAGACCUUGCACUAUUGGAGCGGCCGAUGUCGGAUUAGCUAGUUGGUGGGGUAACGGCUCACCAAGGCGAGGAUCCGUAGCUGGUUUGAGAGGACGACCAGCCACACUGGGACUGAGACACGGCCCAGACUCCUACGGGAGGCAGCAGUGGGGAAUUUUGGACAAUGGGGGCAACCCUGAUCCAGCCAUCCCGCGUGUGCGAUGAAGGCCUUCGGGUUGUAAAGCACUUUUGGCAGGAAAGAAACGUCGCGGGCUAAUACCCCGUGGAACUGACGGUACCUGCAGAAUAAGCACCGGCUAACUACGUG
rnacentral:rRNA from 1 species